rnacentral:rRNA from 1 species
UUCCGGUUGAUCCCGCCGGACCUGACUGCUAUCGGAUUGAUACUAAGCCAUGCGAGUCUUUGCAGUAAUGCAAGGCAUACGGCUCAGUAACACGUAGUCAACUUACCCUAUGGACGAGGAUAAUCUCGGGAAACUGAGCAUAAUACUCGAUAGAUCAUAAUGCCUGGAAUGGUUUAUGGUUAAAAUGAUUCGUCGCCAUAGGAUGGGACUGCGGCCUAUCAGCUUGUUGGUGAGGUAAUGGCCCACCAAGGCGAUUACAGGUACGGGCUCUGAGAGGAGAAGCCCGGAGAUGGGUACUGAGACAAGGACCCAGGCCCUAUGGGGCGCAGCAGGCGAGAAAACUUUGCAAUGUGCGAAAGCACGACAAGGUUAGUCCGAGUGAUUUCUGCUAAAGAGAUCUUUUGCUAGUUAUAAAACCACUAGUGAAUAAGGGGUGGGCAAGUUCUGGUGUCAGCCGCCGCGGUAAAACCAGCACCUCAAGUGGUCAGGAUGAUUAUUGGGCCUAAAGCAUCCGUAGCCGGCUCUGUAAGUUUUCGGUUAAAUCUAUGCGCUCAACGUAUGGGCUGCCGAAAAUACUGUAGAGAUAGGGAGUGGGAGAGGUAGACGGUACUCGGUAGGAAGGGGUAAAAUCCUUUGAUCUAUCGAUGACCACCUGUGGCGAAGGCGGUCUACCAGAACACGUUCGACGGUGAGGGAUGAAAGCUGGGGGAGCAAACCGGAUUAGAUACCCGGGUAGUCCCAGCUGUAAACGAUGCAGACUCGAUGAUGCAUUGGCAUAUAGCCAGUGCAGUGUCGCAGGGAAGCCGUUAAGUCUGCCGCCUGGGAAGUACGUACGCAAGUAUGAAACUUAAAGGAAUUGGCGGGGGAGCACCACAAGGGGUGAAGCCUGCGGUUCAAUUGGAUUCAACGCCGG